AAUUCCUAAAAAAUAUCAAAUGAUAAAAUAAAAAAUAUUAAAAGUCAUUUUUAGAAACUAGAAAUUAAAAGAAGAAAAAAUAAAUUGGUUUCACAUUUUUUGGACCAAUGAUGAAGGAGAUAUGAAUUUUUAAAAUGAAAUGGAAUUAAAAGAAAUAAAAGUAAAAUUAAAUCAUAAUUAAAAAAAAAAGUGAAAAUGCGUGGACCGUCUGAUGAGAUUUCAUUAAUUAAGCUGGAUCAUCACGUGGCCAGGAA
rnacentral:lncRNA from 1 species